AAGACUAUACUUUCAGGGAUCAUUUCUAUAGUAUGUGACUAGAGAAAUUUCUCUGAUCCUGUAGAGCAGCCAAAGCCACAAGGAGGAACCAGAGUGUUCUCUCCUGAGCGUGAAGCUGGCUGUAGGUGUUGCUUCUGUGGCUGCCUCUUGCCUUUUGCCUUUGAUGAUCGUUCUCCCUUUCCUUUGGAGAGGGUAGAGGGAGAGGGCACAGUCUGAGUGGG